GUUAAGCGACUAAGCGUACACGGUGGAUGCCCUGGCAGUCAGAGGCGAUGAAGGACGUGCUAAUCUGCGAUAAGCGUCGGUAAGGUGAUAUGAACCGUUAUAACCGGCGAUUUCCGAAUGGGGAAACCCAGUGUGUUUCGACACACUAUCAUUAACUGAAUCCAUAGGUUAAUGAGGCGAACCGGGGGAACUGAAACAUCUAAGUACCCCGAGGAAAAGAAAUCAACCGAGAUUCCCCCAGUAGCGGCGAGCGAACGGGGAGCAGCCCAGAGCCUGAAUCAGUGUGUGUGUUAGUGGAAGCGUCUGGAAAGGCGCGCGAUACAGGGUGACAGCCCCGUACACAAAAAUGCACAUGCUGUGAGCUCGAUGAGUAGGGCGGGACACGUGGUAUCCUGUCUGAAUAUGGGGGGACCAUCCUCCAAGGCUAAAUACUCCUGACUGACCGAUAGUGAACCAGUACCGUGAGGGAAAGGCGAAAAGAACCCCGGCGAGGGGAGUGAAAAAGAACCUGAAACCGUGUACGUACAAGCAGUGGGAGCACGCUUAGGCGUGUGACUGCGUACCUUUUGUAUAAUGGGUCAGCGACUUAUAUUCUGUAGCAAGGUUAACCGAAUAGGGGAGCCGAAGGGAAACCGAGUCUUAACUGGGCGUUAAGUUGCAGGGUAUAGACCCGAAACCCGGUGAUCUAGCCAUGGGCAGGUUGAAGGUUGGGUAACACUAACUGGAGGACCGAACCGACUAAUGUUGAAAAAUUAGCGGAUGACUUGUGGCUGGGGGUGAAAGGCCAAUCAAACCGGGAGAUAGCUGGUUCUCCCCGAAAGCUAUUUAGGUAGCGCCUCGUGAAUUCAUCUCCGGGGGUAGAGCACUGUUUCGGCAAGGGGGUCAUCCCGACUUACCAACCCGAUGCAAACUGCGAAUACCGGAGAAUGUUAUCACGGGAGACACACGGCGGGUGCUAACGUCCGUCGUGAAGAGGGAAACAACCCAGACCGCCAGCUAAGGUCCCAAAGUCAUGGUUAAGUGGGAAACGAUGUGGGAAGGCCCAGACAGCCAGGAUGUUGGCUUAGAAGCAGCCAUCAUUUAAAGAAAGCGUAAUAGCUCACUGGUCGAGUCGGCCUGCGCGGAAGAUGUAACGGGGCUAAACCAUGCACCGAAGCUGCGGCAGCGACGCUUAUGCGUUGUUGGGUAGGGGAGCGUUCUGUAAGCCUGUGAAGGUGUGCUGUGAGGCAUGCUGGAGGUAUCAGAAGUGCGAAUGCUGACAUAAGUAACGAUAAAGCGGGUGAAAAGCCCGCUCGCCGGAAGACCAAGGGUUCCUGUCCAACGUUAAUCGGGGCAGGGUGAGUCGACCCCUAAGGCGAGGCCGAAAGGCGUAGUCGAUGGGAAACAGGUUAAUAUUCCUGUACUUGGUGUUACUGCGAAGGGGGGACGGAGAAGGCUAUGUUGGCCGGGCGACGGUUGUCCCGGUUUAAGCGUGUAGGCUGGUUUUCCAGGCAAAUCCGGAAAAUCAAGGCUGAGGCGUGAUGACGAGGCACUACGGUGCUGAAGCAACAAAUGCCCUGCUUCCAGGAAAAGCCUCUAAGCAUCAGGUAACAUCAAAUCGUACCCCAAACCGACACAGGUGGUCAGGUAGAGAAUACCAAGGCGCUUGAGAGAACUCGGGUGAAGGAACUAGGCAAAAUGGUGCCGUAACUUCGGGAGAAGGCACGCUGAUAUGUAGGUGAAGUCCCUCGCGGAUGGAGCUGAAAUCAGUCGAAGAUACCAGCUGGCUGCAACUGUUUAUUAAAAACACAGCACUGUGCAAACACGAAAGUGGACGUAUACGGUGUGACGCCUGCCCGGUGCCGGAAGGUUAAUUGAUGGGGUUAGCGGUAACGCGAAGCUCUUGAUCGAAGCCCCGGUAAACGGCGGCCGUAACUAUAACGGUCCUAAGGUAGCGAAAUUCCUUGUCGGGUAAGUUCCGACCUGCACGAAUGGCGUAAUGAUGGCCAGGCUGUCUCCACCCGAGACUCAGUGAAAUUGAACUCGCUGUGAAGAUGCAGUGUACCCGCGGCAAGACGGAAAGACCCCGUGAACCUUUACUAUAGCUUGACACUGAACAUUGAGCCUUGAUGUGUAGGAUAGGUGGGAGGCUUUGAAGUGUGGACGCCAGUCUGCAUGGAGCCGACCUUGAAAUACCACCCUUUAAUGUUUGAUGUUCUAACGUUGACCCCUAAUC
rnacentral:rRNA from 1 species